CCUUGUGUUCUUGAAAUCUUCCCAAAUGGCCCCUUAUUAGUUUCCUGUCUUCUAUGAACCUUCCCAUUUAAGCACACAUAUCUAAAGAUUCAAAACUAGCAUCUAUAUCUGAGAGAGAACAUGUGGCAUUUGCCUUUUUGAAUCUGGGUUACCUCACUCAAAUGCUUAUUUUCAGCUCCAUCCAAUUAUAUUUUGCCCUUCUUAACAUCAUGCACAAAGGCAAAGGGGUUGCUGUACUAUUUGUGGAGAUGCCCAGAUAAACAAAACACCAUAUUCCAUGUCAUAAAAAGUAUAGCAAGAUAAAUGUGUAAAUAUUUCAUACAUGUUAAUAAUGACACUUAUGAUAAAUUGCUAUUAUUAGCACAUAUACUUAUUGUACUAAGCUUUUAUACCAGCAUUUCACAGCAUUCUUCUAUUUAGGUUAAAAAUUUAAAGUAGUGUUCUGCAUUAUGCUUUGGGUAUCUUUACAUACAUCCUGUUUGUCAUUUCCUGAUUACCAUGGGGCUACCUAGAGUGGCUGAUCUACUCAUUACUUAUUUGGGGAAAGCCUCAUUCUGGAGUUUCCACAGUCAUAAAGCCAUCUAACAGGUAUUUCUCAGAACAUAUUCUUGCUCUUAAGUAACAUGUUAAUAUGUGGAAAGAUGUAUUUGAAGAGGGUCAGAAGUAGAGAUGUAAAGAGGAAACAUCCCUUCCCCAUCUACACUCACAACACAGAGAUGAUAACCCCAACCCCAGGGAAAGAAGCAGAACCUGAACUGCAGGGUUUAACCUUAGCAACAACCCUAUCCCAGUGAGACUCCUAAACAGCCCUGUCCCAGUGAGACUCCUAAGGUGAGGCCGUCUACUAUAGCAAUAGCUUUCAAGCUACUUCUCAUGGAUCUAGCCCCUAAGUAAGCAUGUAUUCACCCAGUCUACAGACUGAAUUUAAUGCGUCAGAUCUCCACAUUACCUUCCAUAUGUCCACUUCCCAAGAAAGCACCCACAGUUUCAUACACAAGGCUAGAAUCUGCGAUCUGAAGUUACAGAUUAGUUCUUCAUACCAACUUUAAUAUAUUGCCAGCCAUUCGGCCCCCGUAAAUCCUUUUCAUAGGAGUCCCAAUUAUUACCUCACACAGGGGCUCUGAGAUCAUUCUUUCACACACAAUUUCCAGAACAGAUUGCAUUGACCUAGACUCCAUCCAUGUCUGAAAACUUGAACUCCAUAAUAUCUAGUUUGUUUCAGAAUUUUCAGGCUUACGGCUCACCUAGUACUAGAUCAACUUAGAGUGUGUCUUUAGUUCAUAUUGUGAGGAUAUAGACUUCAUGUUCAUCCCCACUGAUCGAGUCAGAACGGUUAAUCCCGUUUCCAUUGACGGCAAAGCCAUCGUGCUAAAAGAUCCCUAGAGAAGCAAACCUGUGGGCUGUGCUAAAUGGCUACAGUAGAAUAUCCUGAUAGGGAAACAAGUGAACGGCUCUCACAGAGAAAGGUAGUCUGCGUAUCUAGAAUAAAUUCUAAUGCCUUUAAAUACAGAUCGUAACAAUGAAUACGGAACGUGAAAAAGUAGGAAGACAUUAUUCCAUCAAGAUGGUAGAAUGAUAUUUAAGUAGCUGAUGUGGGAAAAGUAGACAUAUUCCAGCAAAGAUGUAAAACAAGUCUAGUAAGAAGAAGAAAAAAUGGGAGAGGAAGAAAGAUUGAGAAUGGAGAAAGAGAUGAGACACAAUGAAGUUUCAGACAAGAAACAAGUCAGACUGCAUUGAUCUGCAUCCUGGUACUCAGCUCCCUGACAAAACUGAUUCUCUGACAAGAGUUGAAGGCUCCUUCCAUCAGCCAAAUUGAUUGCAACUGACAUUUGACAAAGUGGCUAAUCAGAGCAGUCGUCAGUUCCCUUCAGGGUAGAAGCUAUACAAUCAGACAGUCUCUCAUUGGCCAGAGAGACACCAAAUUAAAAGCAAAGGACCAGGUACUUCAGCACACUCAAUAAAGAGAUAAACUAACAUCCAAAUAUAAGCCAA